AUGGGUGCGAGCAGCGAUCCGAAUCAGGACGGGUCGGACGAGCAGCAGCGGCGGUCGGAGAUCUACACCUACGAAGCUCCAUGGCACAUCUAUGCCAUGAACUGGAGCGUGCGCAAGGACAAGAAAUACCGCCUCGCCAUCGCCAGCCUCCUCGAGCAGUACCCUAACCGCGUUGAAAUCGUCCAGCUCGACGACUCCACCGGAGAGAUCCGCUCCGACCCGGCCAUCUCCUUCGACCACCCCUACCCGCCGACCAAGCUCAUCUUCGUCCCCGACAAGGAGUGCCAGCGCCCCGAUUUGCUCGCCUCCUCCUCCGAUUUCCUCCGCCUCUGGCAAAUCUCCGAUUCCGACGGCGGCCGCCGCGUCGAGCUCAAGAGCCUGCUCAACAACAACCGCAACAGCGAGUUCUCCGGCCCGCUGACUUCGUUUGACUGGAACGAGGCCGAGCCGCGGCGGAUUGGGACCUCCAGCAUCGACACCACCUGCACUAUUUGGGAUAUCGAGAAGGAGAUGGUGGAUACGCAGCUAAUUGCGCACGAUAAGGAGGUCUACGACAUCGCGUGGGGCGGCGUUGGGGUUUUCGCGUCGGUUUCGGCCGACGGCUCGGUUAGGGUUUUCGAUCUGCGCGACAAGGAGCAUUCGACCAUAAUCUACGAGAGCUCGGAGCCGGACACGCCGCUGGUGCGGCUCGGCUGGAAUAAGCAGGAUCCGAGAUACAUGGCGACCAUCAUAAUGGACAGUAGCAAGGUCGUGGUGUUGGAUAUACGCUUCCCGACGCUGCCGGUGGUGGAGCUGCAGCGGCAUCAGGCCAGUGUGAAUGCAAUUGCGUGGGCGCCGCAUAGUUCCUGCCACAUUUGCACGGCGGGGGAUGAUUCUCAGGCUUUGAUUUGGGACCUCUCGUCGAUGGGGCAGCCGGUGGAGGGCGGGUUGGACCCGAUUCUGGCAUACACUGCCGGGGCGGAGAUUGAGCAGCUGCAGUGGUCGUCUUCGCAGCCUGACUGGGUGGCGAUUGCAUUUUCGAACAAGCUACAGAUUCUGAGGGAGUAAUGAUGCUUUGCUUUGCUCAACGACUCAAAGUGCUUGGCGUUUAAGAGUCCAGCAAGUUGAAGAAGGUGUAUUGUAGAUUAAGCAGUGCACCAGUGGUCUGUGAUUGAAGGACGGUGGGUGAAGUGAACAUGGUUUUAUAGUGCUGUGAUAUGCAAUGAUUUUCCGAAUUUCGUGUGGUUGUGAGAUCAAUUGGAAGGCUGAAGGAUCUGGUAUCCAAAUUACCUGGUUAGUUUUACCUAUAUAUGUCAGCCCCUUUGAGAUGGCCAUGGUAAAUGUCUAUGAUAAGGAGGAGAAUCUUGCCUUCGAUCUCUUCAUUCUAUCUCGUUCGACUCUCUUAGCAUUGAAUCUGCAAAUUUAAACUGCAGACUCGACAGUAUCGCAGACAGUGUAGUUUGUGAAAGCUUUUCCACUUGAUACUUCAUGGUGUGAAGCUUCAUAUAUGAGGUUUGCAAUUAGCUGUUUCCAUCGUUGUUGUAUAGUUAUAUUCAUAACAUGGUUAUUAUUGUUGUGUUCACUCUCAUGAAUAUCCAUACCCCAAUAAUUUUGGUGGAGAGCUUGUUGCAGAUUUGAGAAAAUUAUGAUUUGAUUUCUUGCUGAGCUUUAUCUUAGAAAAAUUUCCCUACUUAGUUGUUGUAUUUGUCUGAGAUUUUAUUUUUCCAGUUGUAAGGAAAGGAACCCACAAGAUUUUACCCUUUUAGUGGCAUUAUACAAUGAUGGGGAAGUCUUAUGUUGUGUCAAUAUUUAUAUCGGAUUCAAACACCAACGAAAUUAUAAAUGUAUUAUUGAAUUUGUGUUUGGAUUCA